GAAAUCUCAUUCAUUCCUG
rnacentral:sRNA from 1 species